GGGCGGGCCGGGCCGGUGACGCACUUCCGGUCGCGCCGCGGACCGUGCUGCGCAGGUGAGUGCGGACUCGUUGCGGUUCGCGGUGUCCUGGCGGUCAGCACGCAGGGUCCCUCGCAGCCAGCCUCGCGGCCCACCACGUCUCGGUGCCCACAGCGGUGACGCUUGAGUGGCAACUACCGUCAGGCCCACAGAGCUUAGCAGGUGGCGGAUCGGGGAAGCUGUGUCACUUCACAGAGGGUGACUGCGUGAGGGGGCGAAGCGGCUCGAGGUGACAUCGCAAGUCCAUUGACCCGCUGUGGUCCUGCAGGUGCUUCAGGGUCUCUGAGGAGCCUUGGAAUCUCAAAGAUGUCCUUCUAGGGUUAAUGGGAAAAGCACUUACCUAUCAAAUUCUGCCCCCUGAUGGUCAAGGGUGGCCUCACAGAUGCUUUUGUGCCUGCAGUCUGCCGCAGCGGGCAUCUCACUCAGAAUAUGGGAGAAGCCGGACUGCAGGAAUGAGGUAUAUAUGGUAUAAGUCCUUGGGAAGGUUGGUUACAGCUUUGUAAAUCUGGUCUCUGCCUAGGAGAACUGCAGAAAGCCUCCACUUGGCCUGUCUGUGAUCCAAAAGUGGCUA
rnacentral:sRNA from 1 species